rnacentral:lncRNA from 1 species
UGAUAUGGGUGUUUAGGGUAUAAGGAUAGAGAGGUUUCUUUAUCCUCUUUCUCUCUUCUUUUUUAUUUUUCCUACUUUGAUAAAAUUGUUGAAUCUAGAGAUGGUUUGUGCAAAACCUCUCUUGAUUGCAGUGAUGUGUUAUGAAAUUCUUAGACCACAGAGAGCUAACGGGGGUCAGCAGGAUGAUGGCCAGACUGUCUUGGACCACAUGGAUAGUUUCUUU